rnacentral:rRNA from 1 species
UGGCUCGGGACGAACGCUGGCGGCGUGCCUAAUACAUGCAAGUCGAACGGUCUUUUCUAUGGAAGCUUGCUUCCACUGAGAAGAUAGUGGCGAACGGGUGAGUAACACGUGGGUAACCUGCCCAUAAGAGGGGGAUAACAUCCGGAAACGGGUGCUAAUACCGCAUAGUUUUCUUGAUCGCAUGAUCGGGAAAGGAAAGACGGCCUUUGUGCUGUCGCUUAUGGAUGGACCCGCGGCGUAUUAGUUAGUUGGUGAGGUAACGGCUCACCAAGACGAUGAUACGUAGCCGACCUGAGAGGGUGAUCGGCCACAUUGGGACUGAGACACGGCCCAAACUCCUACGGGAGGCAGCAGUAGGGAAUCUUCCGCAAUGGACGAAAGUCUGACGGAGCAACGCCGCGUGAGUGAAAGAAGGUUUUCGGAUCGUAAAACUCUGUUGUCAGAGAAGAACAAGUUGGAGAGUAACUGCUCCAGCCUUGACGGUAUCUGACCAGAAAGCCACGGCUAACUACGUGCCAGCCGCGGC